rnacentral:misc_RNA from 1 species
GAAAUGCGAUAAGUAAUGUGAAUUGCAGAAUUCAGUGAAUCAUCGAAUCUUUGAACGCACAUUGCGCCCGCCAGUAUUCUGGCGGGCAUGCCUGUUCGAGCGUCAUUACAACCCUCAGGCCCCCGGGCCUGGCGUUGGGGAUCGGCGGAAGCCCCCUGCGGGCACAACGCCGUCCCCCAAAUACAGUGGCGAUCCCGCCGCAGCUUCCAUUGCGUAGUAGCUAACACCUCGCAACUGGAGAGCGGCGCGGCCACGCCGUAAAACACCCAACUUCUGAAUGUUGACCUCGAAUCAGGUAGGAAUACCCGCUGAACUUAAGC